GAACGAACGCUGGCGGCAUGCCUAACACAUGCAAGUCGAACGAGACCUUCGGGUCUAGUGGCGCCCGGGUGCGUAACGCGUGGGAACCUGCCCUUAGGUUCGGAAUAACUCCCCGAAAGGGGUGCUAAUACCGGAUAAUGUCUUCGGACCAAAGAUUUAUCGCCUUUGGAUGGGCCCGCGUUGGAUUAGCUAGUUGGUAGGGUAAAAGCCUACCAAGGCGACGAUCCAUAGCUGGUCUGAGAGGAUGAUCAGCCACACUGGGACUGAGACACGGCCCAGACUCCUACGGGAGGCAGCAGUGGGGAAUAUUGGACAAUGGGCGAAAGCCUGAUCCAGCAAUGCCGCGUGAGUGAUGAAGGCCUUAGGGUUGUAAAGCUCUUUUACCCGGGAUGAUAAUGACAGUACCGGGAGAAUAAGCGCCGGCUAACUCCGUG
rnacentral:rRNA from 1 species